AGGGAUAAAAGAAGAAGAGCAGGAGUGGAGAGGAGGCAUUUGUGCUACUUCAAUGCAAACACGGAAAUGUACAUUUCUAAUCUCAAUUACUGAUAUUAAUAAUGCGACAAAAUUGUCAAUUGAAAUCAGCGCUGGGCUAGGUCAGGUAAGGUUUUUCACUUUCUUAACGGGAAUCUGUUAUCAAAUUUAAGUACUCUCUGAAAGGAAACCCUUUUGAUUCUCCGAUCGAUUAGAAUUUUUAUCAUUCGAGAAGAAAUACAGGAAAGGAAUUAAUAGUGGAGUGAUAAAGUAGGAAUUGUUCGAAUUCGGCAUAUGAUGCGUUGUGGAUUGAGGUGGAGAGAAAUACAGGCAUGGAUUCGGGAUUAUGAUAGGAUUCAGUCGCUUGCAGUUAAACUGAUCUACGUUCAGAUUGGUUGUUCAUUAAUUGGAUCGCUUGGGGCGUUUUACAACGGGGUCUUGCUUGUUAAUUUGGCAGUUUCCUUAUUCGCCCUUGUCGCCAUUGAGAGCAGUAGCCAGAGUCUCGGCAGGACCUAUGCCGUUCUUCUAUGUUGCUCCAUUUUGCUGGAUGUUGCCUGGUUCAUUCUCUUCUCUCACGAAAUCUGGCACAUUUCAUCUGAGAUUUAUGGAACUUUUGUUAUCCUUUCGGUGAAGCUCACCCUAACAAUGCAGAUUAUUGGAUUUUCAGUGAGGUUAUCAUCUUCAUUACUAUGGAUACAGAUGUACAGAAUGGGUGCUUCUUACAUAGACAAUUCAGCUCCUCGAGAAACAGAUGUUGAUUUGAGAAAUAGUUUCCUAAAUCCUGCAACUCCUAUAGUUAGACACCCCUCUGGUUCUGAUGAUGUUAUUGGUGGUGCUACAUAUGAUCCAGCAUAUUUUUCGUCUCUUUUUGAAGAUGGUAGAGAUGAUGCAAGUUUGUUAGGGGUAUGAUCCUCUCACUAUGUUUGAGCUGUUCAACAUUACCUCACCUCACCCUCCUGCCAUUAAAAGUACUAGAAAAGGGUGGUCAAAAUCAUGGCAUUGCUACAUUGGAAUCGCCCUCUUCUGCUGAAACUUCUCGACUUAAUCCAUCAAUGAGCAGAUCCUAUCGUAUUGAAGAUGGCGAUAAUGCUGCACGAAAGCUCCAGAUAGUUUGAGUCGAACUAGUUCUUUCAUUUGGUGGUGUUGAUACCCCGUAUUCUUUGGAGGAUUAUUUUUUCAGUAAAUUCUGCAGGCUCGUGUUAGAUGGUAAGGCUUGUAAAGUUGUCCAGUUACUGUAUUAUUUUCUUGGCGAAGAUGCACUCGAAGAUGUCUUGAUGUAUCUUAAUGACUGAAUGGUUGUGUAAAGAUCGUUUCUUUGUCAAAAAUUUUGAAGCAAUAGAAAGGUAGCCUUUAAGAAUUAA